UACGGUGGCGAAAGCAAGAAGGAUACACCUGUUCCCAUGCCGAACACAGAAGUUAAGCUUCUUAACGCCGAAAGUA
rnacentral:rRNA from 1 species